rnacentral:rRNA from 1 species
GUGCGAGCGUUGUCCGGAAUUACUGGGCGUAAAGAGCUCGUAGGUGGUUUGUCGCGUUGUUCGUGAAAUCUCACGGCUUAACUGUGAGCGUGCGGGCGAUACGGGCAGACUAGAGUACUGCAGGGGAGACUGGAAUUCCUGGUGUAGCGGUGGAAUGCGCAGAUAUCAGGAAGAACACCCGUGGCGAAGGCGGCUCUCUGGGACGGUACUGACGCUGAGACGCGAAAGCGUGGGGAGCGAACAGG